AAGUCUAUACUCUGGGUCAUCUUUGUUCACAUGUGAUCUUACUCUAGGUGCUUUGUUUCUUAAUUCAGAUUUCUGAGAGAGAAAUUUCAUUGGUUUAGUUUAUUUAUUGCAACUUCCUGAGAGGUACCUACACCUUGUUGAAUGAUUGAUGUUCCAGAAUGGGGGCAUUCAUCUGGAAGUUCUGCUUCUAGGGGCUGUAGGUAAUAAUGGGGUUAAGUGACAGGAAGUUGGGAUCUAAACCAACAAACCAUUUCCUAAACUGGAUUCUAAUAGCUGACCCUGAGGGGAGAGUUCUAAUAAGUUUUUGUUUUUGUUUUUGUUUUGGAGAGCUACAUUCAAAGGACUUGAUUUUUAAAAAAUUGAAAUUAGAUAAGACAUCAGGUUUAAGAUACUCUUGAUGUCUUAUUUUCUCUGAAAUCUCUGAAGUGAGCCAGGCUCUGACAGUGGUGGACAAUUUCAGGAGGUAACUUAUGAAGGCGUAGUACCUUGGUGACAGUAUCAGAGGAUUAGAAUUAGCUCCAGUGGAUGACGUCAGAUGUGUCACAAGCACUUUAUGGGACCAUUUAUCAUUGCUGUAAGAGUAGGCUUAAUAACUCAAGAAUGCUAGAGCCCCAAGCAGCUACUCUAGCUGACAGAAGAAAAUGUCUGACUCAAGAUUGACUUCGUAUUUCUUUGUAAAACCCAGGCUUAAAGACUAUAACUUUAGAGAGCUUAUUAUCAGUGUGAUUGAAAAUUCAAAUAACUUUUAAAGUGACCUUUAAAUAAGCCGUACUAUUUAGCUGUUAGUUUAUGUUGUGGAUUUCAAAUCCGGAGAUAUUCUGUCUCCUUCCAAAUGUAAUAUAACAUUGAUUGGUUUUCUCCGUACACUUAACUGCUACAAUAAGACCAAGAUUAUGAAUGUCAGUGCUUCAUAAACAAAGUUCCUAAGUGACCUACAUAUACUGAAUCCCUGGCCAAGUAAAUUGUCUUUUCGUAAUCAGUGUCCUCAUUCUCUCCUAAAAAAACAAAAACAAAACAAAACAAACAAACAAACAAACAAAAAAAAAAAAAACUGGGGAUGUUUUCCAAAAGCUUGGCUUCAGGAUUAUUGAUUGGGACAUCAUUUCAAGAUUUUGUACUUCCAUAACAAAUAUUCAAACAUUUAAAGAAAUGAUACCAGUCAUUUUAGAGAAGCUUUACUCAGUUAUUUUUACCGGAGUUUGCUGUGCUAUGAUUAGAACGAGAAGAUUUGGGAAAGUUUAACUUGGCAUGGUAGAGAGGCAGCUGAGCAGAAAAAUAUUUGGUGAAAAAAGAAUCAAAUAUACAGGAUGCUCAAGACUAAAGUCCUGUAGAUGAGGAAAAUAAAACAAGGCACCCAUAUUAUGUUUCUUCUACAGUGUAUAUUUCGGGUUUUUUUCUGAGAAAUGCCUUAGGUGUGUAUUUAAUGGUAGCAGAGAAAGGCAGUAAUGGCUUGGUAAUUUAAGUUACUUUUUUUUCUCUCUCAAAUUAAACUAUUCUGUCUUGUCUGUGGCAUCUCUAUUGAGUUUUUACCCAAGUCUCCAAAGAAAAUGGCCUUAUUAAUUUUAAUAUUUCAUUGCAGGCUAACAGUCUCAGAAGAAUAGAUUGGUGCUUGAUUGAACUGGAUCCUGAGAUGUUUCUAAAUGAAAAUCUUGUCAGAUAUUCUAUUUUCCUUCUGUGUUUCAAUAUUUGAAUUGUCAUCUAGUAGAAUGGCUUUAGUAUGCUUGAUUUACCAGUGUGGCCAAAACGAAGAUAUUUUUUUUUUAAACAUUAUUUGCAGGGUAGUCGUACUUGUGGAAUUAAUUCUUGAAGCAAAAAAAAAAAACCAAAAACCCAAAAACAAAAAACAACAACAAAAAAAACCAUCUUACAGUAGGACUUGCCGUUUCAUGAUUCUGACAAUCUAGUAUGAACUGAGGUUGUUGAAAUUAAAAAAGUAAAUUUUAA